GACGAACGCUGGCGGCGUGCUUAACGCAUGCAAGUCGAACGGAAAGGCCCUGCUUUUGUGGGGUGCUCGAGUGGCGAACGGGUGAGUAACACGUGAGUAACCUGCCCUUGACUUUGGGAUAACUUCAGGAAACUGGGGCUAAUACCGGAUAGGAGCUCCUGCUGCAUGGUGGGGGUGGGAAAGUUUCGGCGGUUGGGGAUGGACUCGCGGCUUAUCAGCUUGUUGGUGGGGUAGUGGCUUACCAAGGCUUUGACGGGUAGCCGGCCUGAGAGGGUGACCGGCCACAUUGGGACUGAGAUACGGCCCAGACUCCUACGGGAGGCAGCAGUGGGGAAUAUUGCACAAUGGGCGGAAGCCUGAUGCAGCAACGCCGCGUGCGGGAUGACGGCCUUCGGGUUGUAAACCGCUUUCGCCUGUGACGAAGCGUGAGUGACGGUAAUGGGUAAAGAAGCACCGGCUAACUACGUG
rnacentral:rRNA from 1 species